AAACAAGACAAGAGCUUUGGUUGUACCAGGGAGUUUCAGGAGGGAUAGGAUUGUACAGUAUGGUAAAACCAAGAGCCAACUAUCUUGUGUGUGUUGAUGUUGUUUUAGAUGGAAUCUCAUUAUACAGUCCAGGCUGGUGUGGAACUCACAAGAAAUCUGCCAGCCUCUUCCUCCAGAGUGCUGGAAUUAAAGAAGUCCCCCCCAUGACUGCCUGGGUCUGGAGGCUCCACCUGGCUGAGACAGACAGACAGACAGACAGACAGACAGACAGACAGAUCAUCAAGGACGACUCAGAUCUGAGAAAGUUUGAAGAAUGCUAAUUCUUCAGGAUGCCCUGAAAUAUGUUGGACUGAAGAGAUGGCCCAGUCAUCAAGCUUGAAGAUCUUAGGAGGACCAACACCUUGAACUUGGACUAUUAGCCUUGCAAAGUGUGUGACAAUAACUAUCGUUGCUUAAGCUAUCUAGCUGUAACAUUCUAUUCCAGACACCCAAGUAAAUGAACCUACCUUCUCCCUUUAUCUACACUGUGGCAGUGAGCUCUAAGUGGGUAUGCACCUCAAGCUCCAUCAAAGACAUGGGCAACAUCCUAGAAGAAGAGGCAGAAAGAGUAUAAGUGCCAAAAGGUGAGGAGGAGAGUGGGGACACGCUGUCCUCCUGAUGGGGCCUGGCUGCUUCACUCAUGAGCUCAUAGCAACUGUGGGUGUCCUCACAAGUCCUGUACAAGAUCAAGCUAGUUACCAUUCCAGCAGAGAUAGAAGAAGGCCUCCCAGGUUCCUGUCACUAGCUGAGGAAAUAUGAGGAGUUGGUGGCUGCUGGGGAGGAAGUCAUAGGGGAGGGUGGCAGUCACUGUGCAUAUAGGCAACACUAAU